UAUUAUUGAGGUCGGAAAUGGUUCCCGACACACUCUUCGGAGUACCUGAGAUGAUGGAUACACCGCCCAUCCAAUAAUA
rfam:[Eubacterium] eligens ATCC 27750 chromosome, complete genome.